UGGUCUAUUAGAAAUAGUAGUCUUUCAAAACGCUACUUCUGCCCCUCUCUUGAUUGCUGAACAUGAUAUAAGAUUAGUUUCAGAAUUUUAUGGGUUUUCAUUGGAUGGCCCUUCAGGCAACUCAUGGCACUGGAACACUUGUAGCUCCACAAGCUCCUCUUUUGUCUAUCCAUUGCAGGUUUAUUGGGUGCCCCUUUCCUAUGGGUUGCUUAAAAUCAACUUUAACGGAUCUCUUCGAUGCAAAUGCAAACAUGGGGAGCAGGUUUUGUUGUUAGCAACCGCAAUGACAGUGUCCUUGUGGCUAGUUCAAGGAACUUCUUUGCUACCUCGAUCCCCAUGAUUCCAUUAAGGGCAGCUUGGAAAGGGCUCACUAAUAUCAUCGAGUUCUUAUAAUGCAAGAAAGUAAUAUUGAAAGGUGAUUUG
rnacentral:lncRNA from 1 species